GAUGAACGCUAGCGAUAGGCUUAACACAUGCAAGUCGAGGGGCAGCACAAGGUAGCUUGCUAUCUGGGUGGCGACCGGCGCACGGGUGCGUAACGCGUAUGCAACUUGCCCUAUACAGGAGGAUAACCCGUCGAAAGACGGACUAAUACUGCGUAUGCUCACAACUUGGCAUCAAGUGGUGAGGAAAGAAAUUCGGUAUAGGAUAGGCAUGCGUCCCAUUAGCUUGUUGGUGAGGUAACGGCUCACCAAGGCAACGAUGGGUAGGGGAACUGAGAGGUUUAUCCCCCACACUGGUACUGAGACACGGACCAGACUCCUACGGGAGGCAGCAGUGAGGAAUAUUGGUCAAUGGGCGCGAGCCUGAACCAGCCAAGUCGCGUGAAGGAUGACUGUCUUAUGGAUUGUAAACUUCUUUUAUACGGGAAUAACAAGAGUCACGUGUGACUCCCUGCAUGUACCGUAUGAAUAGGCAUCGGCUAACUCCGUG
rnacentral:rRNA from 1 species